rnacentral:rRNA from 1 species
AUACGUAGGGGGCGAGCGUUGUCCGGAAUGAUUGGGCGUAAAGGGCGCGUAGGCGGCCCGGUAAGUCUGGAGUGAAAGUCCCGUUUUUAAGAUGGGAAUUGCUUUGGAUACUGUCGGGCUUGAGUGCAGGAGAGGUAAGUGGAAUUCCCAGUGUAGCGGUGAAAUGCGUAGAGAUUGGGAGGAACACCAGUGGCGAAGGCGACUUACUGGACUGUAACUGACGCUGAGGUGCGAAAGUGUGGGGAGCAAACAGGAUUAGAUACCCUGGUAGUCCACACUGUAAACGAUGAAUGCUAGGUGUAGGGGGUAUCGACCCCUUCUGUGCCGCAGUCAACACAAUAAGCAUUCCGCCUGGGGAGUACGGCCGCAAGGUUGAAACUCAAAGGAAUUGACGGGG